GACGAACGCUGGCGGCGUGCUUAACACAUGCAAGUCGAACGGAAAGGCUCUGCUUUUGUGGGGUGCUCGAGUGGCGAACGGGUGAGUAACACGUGAGUAACCUGCCCUUGACUUUGGGAUAACUUCAGGAAACUGGGGCUAAUACCGGAUAGGAGCUCCUGCUGCAUGGUGGGGGUUGGAAAGUUUCGGCGGUUGGGGAUGGACUCGCGGCUUAUCAGCUUGUUGGUGGGGUAGUGGCUUACUAAGGCUUUGACGGGUAGCCGGCCUGAGAGGGUGACCGGCCACAUUGGGACUGAGAUACGGCCCAGACUCCUACGGGAGGCAGCAGUGGGGAAUAUUGCACAAUGGGCGGAAGCCUGAUGCAGCAACGCCGCGUGCGGGAUGACGGCCUUCGGGUUGUAAACCGCUUUCGCCUGUGACGAAGCGUGAGUGACGGUAAUGGGUAAAGAAGCACCGGCUAACUACGUG
rnacentral:rRNA from 1 species